GCAGCUCCUUCUUCCCCCAUUUGCAUGCAACGCAGCAAAACAGAUUUGGGGAGAAAGAAGAGCCCCCAAACCCUUAACCUCCUUUGAUCCACCAUAACUCUUCCGUCCGGGCUCCGAUCGCCGCACCGUUCACGGCCACGCGCUCAGCGCGUUGAGCUCUACCUUUCUAUCCGAAUAAUUUCACUGGUUCAAGUUAGCUUCCGGAACUUGUGGGCUCAAGCUAUUGAGCAUAUGGGUAUGGUGUAGUUUAAGAGGGUGUUUAUGCAUUGGACUUGAAUUUGGAUUACUUGGAGCUUUGUUGGUGACAAGGCUUACUUUGGGGCUAUUUGAUU